AUCGAACGCUGGCGGCAUGCCUUACACAUGCAAGUCGAACGGCAGCACGGGAGCAAUCCUGGUGGCGAGUGGCGAACGGGUGAGUAAAGUAUCGGAACGUGCCCAGUCGUGGGGGAUAACGUAGCGAAAGUUACGCUAAUACCGCAUACGAUCUAUGGAUGAAAGCGGGGGAUCGCAAGACCUCGCGCGAUUGGAGCGGCCGAUAUCAGAUUAGGUAGUUGGUGGGGUAAAGGCUCACCAAGCCGACGAUCUGUAGCUGGUCUGAGAGGACGACCAGCCACACUGGGACUUGGACACGGCCCAGACUCCUACGGGAGGCAGCAGUGGGGAAUUUUGGACAAUGGGCGCAAGCCUGAUCCAGCCAUGCCGCGUGCAGGAUGAAGGCCUUCGGGUUGUAAACUGCUUUUGUACGGAACGAAAAGGUUUGGCCUAAUAAGCUGAGCUCAUGACGGUACCGUAAGAAUAAGCACCGGCUAACUACGUGCCAGCAGCCGCCGUAA
rnacentral:rRNA from 1 species